AGGGAAUUAGUCUAACAAAAGACCCCUCAUUUCGGCUGAGAAAAUCGUGGUUCAAAUCCACGACUCCCUU
rnacentral:tRNA from 1 species